GGGAGCCAACUCCUUCCCCGUCUGCCAUUUUGUACUCUUGGCCUAACGUUGACUCAAAACAGCAACUUGGAGCCUUCCCUGACCUGUUGGUAAAAUAUGACUUUGUUUUAUUAUUAAAAAAAUAGAAAGUAGAAAAUUAAAUUCAUUAGCUCCAAUUACUAAAUGAUUCAUCUGGCUGGCUAAUGAAGCUGAGCAUUAUGCUAACAAGAUAAAGGCAAGAAUAACAUGUGGGGAUGUGCGGCUGCAGGCACGCUGGGCCUGUUCUACUGGAAACGCAAGGCUGAGGAGCUCUGUGCCUUGAGAUGGAUGGCAAGAUACAAAAUCAAAAAGGUGUUUUAAUCCUGAGGAAGAAUGUGAGUCUGGGAAAGUUUUGGAUCACCGAGGUGCAGCCAUACCUUCCACAGCCAUCACUGUUGCUUACAACUCACAUGCCAAGAAUUGCAAGAAGAAGAUGGUGAUCAGGAGGCAUGACUUGUAACUACUUGGUUAGUGUAAAGCAGAGAGGAGAAUUAGGAGAGGCAGAUGGCAGAGAGGUCUGCCAUGGAAGAUUCAUGGAUGACAGGAGAGGCUGUGUUCCAGAAUGCAAGGAAGAAGAGCCCAAGGACCGUAGCAAGGCCCUGAUUCUGGGAGACAAGAGAACACGCUGACUUAGAAUGCUUGUCUCUGCAUCCUGGUCAGAAAGUAGAUGGACGACCCUUUCAUGUCCAACUGGAUUUUGGUGAGAGAUGGGCAAACCCCGGGCUCUAGGCUGGAGCAGCAGCUCUUGUAUCCACACAAAAUCAGGACUGGUGGAGGGAGCCAUCUUCAAACAUAAAUUUGGUGAGUUUAACAAUCAGAGAUUUGAAAAACACAGAAGUGAACAUUUCUGAUCAACGACGCUGCUGAUCUGAUGCAUCAUAACAGAAACCAGUCAUCAAGCGUCUUUUGGCAAUGCACUCCUUGGGUUUGGAAGCUUCCCUCCAAGAUGCUGAGCCCAAUGUUUGGGGAAAGCCAGGGAAACAGAUGCUGGGUCAGUGCUGCUCCCACCUCCUCUGCUCCCCUCCUGAGGGCUCCACUGAGUCACCAGCCAGCAAACAGCCCAUGCGCCCUGGAGCAGAUGGACUGUGGGUACACGAGCCUCUGAACUCUUGGGCAGCAUGGGCACCACAUCCUUUUGGCCUCACCCAAUGACCUGGCUAAGGAAGCCUUGCCUUUAUCAUCAUCUCACUACCAUAAUCACCAUCAUUAUCAUCACCAUCAUCAUCACCAUUAUCACCACCACUAUCAUCAUUAUCACCAUCAUCAUCACCAUCAUCAUCAUCA